GCUUUCCAAGAAGUCGCACAGCUGUGGAUACAAGAAAAUGUCUUAAAAAAUAGUAGCACGGCAAACGAGUGCACACCAAGUUCCAGGAAAAACGUACAUGGGGAUCCACAUGUUCAGAGGCCAAUUUGUGCAGGUCCAGGAGAGCCUGAUUAACAUUUUUCUCCAGCUGUAGGGCAGACUGCAUCGCCUCAAGUCCACUCCCCCAC